AGACAUUUGGGUAGGUUCCCGUCUGGGACCGUUACGAAUAGUGCUGCUGUGAGCAUUCUUCUGCACGUUUGUGGUGAAUAUAUAUGCACGUUCCUGUUGGUGCAGUCAUUUUAAUGAUUAUGAAGAACAAAACCAAGUCAGGAGUCUGCCUCCAGAAUUGGAAACAUCACCUCGGUUCCCAGUUCUGUUCAUCUGUGAAUACACUGUUUUCACGGAGGAAGGAUUGAAGGAAAGGAACAGACAGGGAGUGGGAAGCCCCCCCGGCCCUCCCAAGCUGAAAAGGACAAAUUUGGCAUCACGCUGGGA